rnacentral:rRNA from 1 species
GCAUAUCAAUAAGCGGAGGAAAAGAAACUAACAAGGAUUCCCCUAGUAACUGCGAGUGAAGCGGGAAAAGCUCAAAUUUAAAAUCUGGUGGUCUCUGGCCAUCCGAGUUGUAAUCUAGAGAAGUGUUAUCCGCGCUGGACCGUGUACAAGUCUCCUGGAAUGGAGCGUCAUAGAGGGUGAGAAUCCCGUCUUUGAUACGGACUGCCAGGGCUUUGUGAUGCGCUCUCAAAGAGUCGAGUUGUUUGGGAAUGCAGCUCAAAAUGGGUGGUAAAUUCCAUCUAAAGCUAAAUAUUGGCGAGAGACCGAUAGCGAACAAGUACCGUGAGGGAAAGAUGAAAAGAACUUUGGAAAGAGAGUUAAACAGUACGUGAAAUUGCUGAAAGGGAAACGCUUGAAGUCAGUCGCGUUGUCUGGGGAUCAACCUUACUUUUGUUGGGCGUACUUUCCAGAUGACGGGUCAGCAUCAAUUUUGACCGUUGGAUAAAGUCUAGAGGAAUGUGGCAUCUUCGGAUGUGUUAUAGCCUUUGGUCGCAUACAACGGUUGGGAUUGAGGAACUCAGCACGCCGAAAGGCCGGGUACUUGUACCACGUUCGUGCUUAGGAUGCUGGCAUAAUGGCUUUAAUCGACCCGUCUUGAAACACGGACCAAGGAGUCUAACAUGCCUGCGAGUAUUUGGGUGGAAAACCCGAGUGCGUAAUGAAAGUGAAAGUUGAGAUCCUUGUCAUGGGGAGCAUCGACGCCCGGACCAGACCUUUUGUGACGGAUCUGCGGUAGAGCAUGUAUGUUGGGACCCGAAAGAUGGUGAACUAUGCCUGAAUAGGGUGAAGCCAGAGGAAACUCUGGUGGAGGCUCGUAGCGAUUCUGACGUGCAAAUCGAUCGUCAAAUUUGGGUAUAGGGGCGAAAGACUAAUCGAACCAUCUAGUAGCUGGUCCUGCG